rnacentral:rRNA from 1 species
GAAUUUUCGGCAAUGGGGGAAACCCUGACCGAGCAAUGCCGCGUGAAUGAUGAAGGUCUUCGGACUGUAAAGUUCUGUUAUCGGGAACGAAUAACAUGGCGAGGAAAUGCGCCAUGCAUGACGGUACCCGAUGAGAAAGCCCCGGCCAACUAUGUGCCAGCAGCCGCGGUAAUACAUAGGGGGCAAGCGUUAUCCGGAAUUACUGGGCGUAAAGCGUGUGUAGGCGGCCCAUUAAGUCUGGCGUGAAAUCCCACAGCUUAACUGUGGAGGGUCGUUGGAAACUGAUGGGCUUGAGUACGGUAGAGGUAAGUGGAAUUCCAAGUGGAGCGGUGGAAUGCGUAGAUAUUUGGAGGAACACCAGUGGCGAAGGCGGCUUACUGGGCCGGAACUGACGCUGAGACACGAAAGCGUGGGGAGCAAACAG